rnacentral:rRNA from 1 species
CACGUAGGGGGCGAGCGUUGUCCGGAUUUAUUGGGCGUAAAGAGCUCGUAGGCGGCUCGGUAAGUCGGGUGUGAAACCUCCAGGCUCAACCCGGAGACGCCACUCGAUACUGCCGUGGCUAGAGUCCGGUAGAGGAGCGUAGAAUUCCUGGUGUAGCGGUGAAAUGCGCAGAUAUCAGGAGGAAUACCAGCGGCGAAGGCGGCGCUCUGGGCCGGUACUGACGCUGAGGAGCGAAAGCGUGGGGAGCAAACAGG